CACACAAUCAAUUUAAAUGCGAAUAGGCGAUGCAGAGUACAACCAGUCAAGUCAUUGUGCAGUGUUAAUGAAGCGGAAAGUUUCACUGAAUCAUCUUUAAGGUCUUGGGCGUGGGAGGAGACUAGUGGAGGACUGGAAGAUACUGCUUAACUCUCUGGGUGUUUCCAGCAUUUUCUGUGUUUGUUCUUCAAUUACUUGUUUAACUGCAAUUCAGUUUAUACCAGUUGAGAAUUUUCGAGUAAGCGGAAUGCAGACUGACGAGAUAAUCCCGGAAACAAAUCUUCUCGCUGUAAUGAAUCCAUGCAAACAGAAAUAAAGUCAUAGUAGGCAAUGGGCCGAAAGGCCUAUUUCCGUGCUGAAUUAUUCGAUGACACAAUGUACCAUGCACAGAUUACAAACACCGUAGUUUCGCAUCGAGGUUUUUAAUUAUUCGUCCCAUUCUAUUUCGGGAUAAAUGUUGAAGGACGAGACCGCAAAACGGCGAAGAGCCAUCUGUCAUCGCUUUACUGACUAACCACUGAAAAAAAGAUGCGAAGUGAGAAUAAUUAGCGCAUCAGGCUGCAGCCUAUUGGGCUCAUGUGUCGUCCUACAUUGGGAAUUCACCUUUGGUGGAACUACUAUCAGAAAUGCUAUUAUUUUAGCUACCUAUAAAAAUGGAAAUAAAAUGAACCGAAUGGCUAAGUCUGCAUUCAUUGCAUCCCUUCACGUCGUAAUUAAACCUUGGCUGUCCCAGAUUGCACAAUGAACCUACCCGUUUUACUGUGUAUAGUGACAAAAUCAAGUAUCAGUUUUCAGGGUUCCUUCAUGAUUGGUUGAAGUAAUUUGUCUCCGUGACGUGAAAGCGAGGGUGCCUGGUGUUUUACUCCAACUCCAGACAUAUAAUCUAUUAUUAUGUAUUCGCGAACUAUGACUAAAAAAAUGGAAACAGUCGGUCCAGCUGAAAGAUCAAAUGCAUCUGUUACCUGAUAGUCCAUUUGAACGAUCUACCGCAUCACUAAAGGCUGCUUUAAUUGGUGGUAGGUUUCAAAAAUGAACAUUCAAGUCUGUAAGGUGCCAAUCGCCGACACUUUGCAUGUGUG